CGCUCGUUCACAACCGAUCUUCCUUCGCAAAUAUUACCGUUGAUUUCGAUGGAAUUGUUUCCAGUGCUUCGAAAUCCUCCUACGAGAAGAAUCGUAGUCCUGCGCUAUAGCAGGCGAGUCGAGCGGCAUCAGGGAUGUCACAGGCUGCAUUUUAGGUCUCCAAAGCUUCGAAAUUCCUUCCCUUCUCCUCUCUCUUGGUUCCUCUCUCUACAGUGCAAGGGCGAGCAGGCGGGUCGAAUAACAUAGAGGGAAGUCGCAGGAUGUGGUUUAGGAUUCCGGGGUGAAAUCUUUGGGGGCUUUCAGAGGCACCGAAAUUGUAUCGGAUGUGUCGAGGUUUUAGCAUGAUAUUUUGGAGGAAGUGAAAAUUAAGGUGUCAGGAAUUGUUGUGGAGAAAAUAGGUGAUUUCAGAAAAGCUAUUUUAGAUAUGUUUUGGACAAAUAAGUUAUUUUCAGUUAAUUCAUUUCAUGAGCCCAAAUUUCAUGAAUUUCUUCGAUGCCUAUGUUUCCCGGGUUGUGUAUACAAAGGUGGUGGGCUUGAGAAGAUCAUGUAGGAACUUAUCGUAGGGAUGCUCCGUCAAGUCAGUUGCCUUUCAAUUAGGGGAACGAGCACCGAGGCGAGUCA